ensembl:snRNA U1 U1 spliceosomal RNA
ACAGAUACCUGGCAGGAGAGAGAGCAUGAUCACAAAGGUGGUUUUCCCACAGCGAGGCGUAUCCAUUGCACUCCAGAUGUGCUGACCCCUGUGAUUUCCCCAAAUGUAGGAAGCUUGACUGCAUAACUUGUGGUAGUGGGGACAGGACUGCGAACAAGUACACACUCUCCCCU